CAGAUCAGACUGUACUGUGCAGGUGCUGCAGAGAGGCAAGUCCAUCAAAGCUUCCUCACCUUUGACAGGCUUUGUUUUUUAACAUUUUAGGACCAUUGAUCUCACACUUUUUAUUUUUUCUGAAAAUUCAUUAAAUGUGCUCUCUAAUCCAUAUGGUGUAAUUAUACAAGUAAACGACACUGUUUGUAGUCUUAUUUAAUUUGUAAGGUUUGUUUUUAGCGACUUAGCAGGUUACCUGGCCAAACUGUGUAUAGAGGGAAAUCUUGCUUUGGUCUGUGGGUGUGGACUGGUGUGACUUACAGAAGAUAAGCAGAUGUGGGGCUGUGUGCGAUAGGAUAGGUGUUCAUGGGCAGCUAAGCGCGUGCCUCUGGCUGUGACCUAUGAAGUUUCUUAAUGCUGUACUUACAAAUGUGAAGUGUGAGUAGGGUUGGUCUCGGAAAAGAUGGUAUUUAUGUAUAAUAUAAACCUUAAGCCACAGGAACUGGCAUUUUUCUUAGUGUAAAAAUUUAAUAAGAACCAAAUCACAAAAAUCCCAGAUCUCCUUUUGAGGCCGGGGACAAUCAGGCCGUUCGGACAAUCACCAUUCCAGUCCCACCGAGUGCUGAGGCUGGAGAACCACCUCUUAGGUUCUCAAGAUGCUGUUGAUCCUGUUCUUGUAUUUUUGUUUUAGUUUUGUAAUCUUGAAAAAUAACUUAAAGUUGCCAGUGGCUCAUAAGGAGAAAUCAAUUAAAACCAUUCAAAACAUAGAUCCUUAAAUUUCCAUGUACUGUCCCCCUUUUACAUUCCUCCAUUGACUCGGUUCUUUAGUGUAGUCCCUAGGCCAGCGCUAGCCUAGCAUUUCAGUAGCCUGUUGGGCUUUUAGGGCUUAUAGUGUUAAAUUUAUGUCGUCUGUACCUCUUCUAUAACUCAACCUAAUUUUUGACUUUGCUUCCUCACUGGCUGUUGUAUUUGGUUUCAGGUUUUGUGUUAACAUUUGCCAUCCAUUGUUGUGUUUUCUUUCAUUGUUUGUUGACAGUGAUAGCAAUGGGUAUAACUCUCGUACAUUUAAAUGAAGCUGAUGCUACAGAAUGUAAUGCGAGCCAGUGAACGCCACUUGGCGCCAACCGGUGGAAGCUGGCCUCAGGCGCAUUCUCUGGAGUUGAAGGAUCAACACUCCCUGUGUCUACAACAAGGAGAUACGUCUUCAUCAUACUGAACUUGGCCUUUUAAGGGAAAAAUGCUUUUCAUGAAAUUUGCAUAAUACCAUUGUUUUGCAGUGAUAAGGCAUUUGCAUGUUUCUGAGGGCUGAGUUAAGCUCUUUGGAGUGAAGACUAUCAGUGCCGCAGUGAUGGGUGCUAUCCCCGGGUCUGCAGUGGUCACAAAGUCUACCGUGUAGUUACUUUCAAGCCUCAUUCAGAUAAUCUUGCUAAGAGCUGGUCUGCACUCCCCACAGGUGUUUUACUGUCCUCUCUCAACACUGCUUUGAGCCGUGCUCUGUAAAGUGUAAGUUCUUUGUCCCAUCAGUUUACUAGCUGUCAUGUGGUUAUUGUCUGGGCAAGUCUUUUGAUUUUGUUUUCCUUACAAAGUAUGUCCAUGACUGUAUCAAUCUUCUGUAUUCAGAACAUUAUAAUGCUGCGGCCAUUUUUAUAGAACGACUGCAAGUUUGUGUCCUGGAAAUAUCUUCUACUCGUGUGUGUAUGUGAGCUCUGAGACCAGAUCUGUUCUGGAAGAGUCCUCAGGUAUGCCUGCACAUGACUGUCUGGGUAUCUGGGUAGACGCUAGGGAAUUGUGCUUUUAGAUGAGGCAGUUGGAAAACCUGAGCUCCCCUUGCUGUCCGUGUAUGUGCCACAUCUGGCCUCCACCACUGCGUUUCUUGUGGUUGUGCUGUUAAUGGUAAAGUCAAGUGCCUUCAAUGCUAAAGGCUCAGAAAUCUUUCUUAAACUGAUUUCAUGUCCUAUGCAAGUGUUUUUACAACCUGCAUAACCAGUACUUUGUAAAACUUGUUUACGCUUCAAUUGUACAUAGUGUUUUUUAAAGAAAUAUAUAGUAUUUUUAUUUAGGUACCUCCAAACUUGAAUCCGUCUGUGUGAAACACUGUAAACGACACGUUUCUCUUUUGCGUACCAUCACAGUUGUACAGAGGUUUUCACUGGUUCUAUUUUUCUACUGUUACUGAUACGCAUGUAACACUGACUUUAUCCUCCAUAUAGUUGGCAUUUCAAAUAAAUGGCUUGUAUAGAA
rnacentral:lncRNA from 1 species